GAUGAACGCUAGCGGCAGGCCUAACACAUGCAAGUCGAGGGAGAAGCCCUUCGGGGCGGAAGCCGGCGCACGGGUGCGUAACGCGUAUGCAACCUACCUUUCACAGGGGGAUAGCCCGAAGAAAUUUGGAUUAAUACCCCAUAAUAUUGUUGGAUGGCAUCAUUUGGCAAUUAAAACUGAGGUGGUGAAAGAUGGGCAUGCGUCCUAUUAGCUAGUUGGAGUGGUAACGGCACCCCAAGGCUACGAUAGGUAGGGGUCCUGAGAGGGAGAUCCCCCACACUGGUACUGAGACAGGGACCGGACUCCUACGGGAGGCAGCAGUGAGGAAUAUUGGUCAAUGGUCGGAAGACUGAACCAGCCAUGCCGCGUGCAGGAAGAAUGCCUUAUGGGUUGUAAACUGCUUUUAUAUGGGAAGAAUAAGGUGUACGUGUACAUUGANGACGGU
rnacentral:rRNA from 1 species